rnacentral:tRNA from 2 species
GGGUGCGUAGCUCAGUGGGAGAGCGCUUCCUUCACACGGAAGAGGUCGCAGGUUCAAUCCCUGCCGCACCCACCA